CUCGAGUCGUUGAGAUUUCACACUGCCGAGCAAACCCUCUAGAUAGAUAACAGGUGCCCGUACCGCCCCGACACAGGUAGUCAAGAUGAGAAUUCUAAGGUGAGCGAGCGAACUCUCGUUAAGGAACGCGGCAAAAUGACCCCGUAACUUCGGGAGAAGGGGUGCUCUUUAGGGUUCACGCCCAGAAGAGCCGCAGUGAAUAGGCCCAAGCGACUGUUUAUCAAAAACACAGGUCUCUGCUAAACCGUAAGGUGAUGUAUAGGGGCUGACGCCUGCCCGGUGCUGGAAGGUUAAGAGGAGUGGUUAGCUUCUGCGAAGCUACGAAUCGAAGCCCCAGUAAACGGCGGCCGUAACUAUAACGGUCCUAAGGUAGCGAAAUUCCUUGUCGGGUAAGUUCCGACCCGCACGAAAGGCGUAACGAUUUGGGCACUGUCUCAACGAGAGACUCGGUGAAAUCAUAGUACCUGUGAAGAUGCAGGUUACCCGCGACAGGACGGAAAGACCCCGUGGAGCUUUACUGUAGCCUGAUAUUGAAAUUCGGCACAGCUUGUACAGGAUAGGUAGGAGCCUUUGA
rnacentral:rRNA from 1 species